rnacentral:misc_RNA from 1 species
AAGACUAUAGACCUGCGGAGUACCUGCGGAGGGAUCAUUACUGAGUGAGGGCCCUCUGGGUCCAACCUCCCACCCGUGUUUAUUGUACCUUGUUGCUUCGGUGGGCCCGCCGCAAGGCCGCCGGGGGCUUCCGCCCCGGGCCCGCGCCCACCGGAGACAAACUGAACUCUGUCUGAAUGUUGCAGUCUGAGUAAAAACUUAAUAAGUUAAAACUUUCAACAACGGAUCUCUAGAUCGGAA